AUGGGCAGCCUUGUCCUGGCCCUGCUGUCUCCUCUUUUCUCCUUUCAUCUCCUGUCAAUCACCACGUCUGUGUCUCUCUCACUUCCAGGGUCCUGGGCCCAGUCUGUGCUGACUCAGCCACCCUCAGCGUCUGGGGCCCCCGGGCAGAGUGUCACCAUCUCUUGCUCUGGAAGCAGCUCCAACAUCAGAGGUAAUGGUGUACACUGGUACCAGCAGCUCUCAGGAACAGCCCCCAAACUCCUCAUCUAUAAUAAUAAUCAGCGGCCCUCAGGGGUCCCUGACAGAUUCUCUGGCUCCAAGUCUGGUACCUCAGCCUCCCUGACCAUCACUGGUCUCCGGUCUGAGGAUGAGGCCCAUUAUUACUGCGAAGCAUGGGAUAACAGCCUGAGUGCUCACACGGUGCUCCAGGCCCAGGUGGAAGUGAGACAAGAACCCCCUUCCUCCUCUGCCAGGAGGGUGAGCCCCCGGCAGCUGCUGCUCAGGUCUGGCCUGUGGCUUCUGCUGCUAUAGCUUCUCUCAUGGGUCCAGGGGCAUCCAGGGCCCUGCCUGAGAGUGGAUGCUCCUCCUCCCCUUCAUUCCUCAGAGUCAUGAGCAGGGUGUCCAGGAAACAGAACAUUGUGCUCCCUGCAACUUGGGACACAGGGUGUCUGCACUGAAGUCCUGGGCUGAGGUGGCAGGUCCAGCUGUGUCAUCACAGACCCACCUCUGAUGGGAAACCUGUGUCUCCAUCAUCCUCCUUUUCCCAUUUCCAUGAGUUUCCAGAGCGGUGUCUUCCUCCCCCUGCUCCUCAGUGUGAAUCCCUAUGCUUCCUUUCUCUCCAGCCUAUUCUAAGUAAACUUUUCCCAUAUAGGAAUAAUGCACAUCUAAUAAACCACUCAUAUUUAUAAUAGGAAA